CAUGUACUCCCUCCGUCCGGAAAUACUUGUCGGAGAAAUGGAUGUACCUAGAUGUAUUUUAGUUCUAGAUACAUCCAUUUUAACGACAAGUAAUUCCGAACGGAGGGAGUAGUAU
rnacentral:pre_miRNA from 1 species